rnacentral:rRNA from 1 species
GGAAUUUUGCACAAUGAGCGAAAGCUUGAUGCAGCGACGCCGCGUGCGGGAUGACGGCCUUCGGGUUGUAAACCGCUUCCAGGAGGGACGAAGCGAAAGUGACGGUACCUCCAGAAGAAGCCCCGGCCAACUACGUGCCAGCAGCCGCGGUGAUACGUAGGGGGCGAACGUUGUCCGGAUUUAUUGGGCGUAAAGCGCUCGUAGGCGGCUCAGCAAGUCGGCCGUGAAAACCCGGAGCUCAACUCCGGGACGCCGGUCGAUACUGCUGUGGCUUGGGUUCGGUAGAGGAGAGUGGAAUUCCCGGUGUAGCGGUGAAAUGCGCAGAUAUCGGGAGGAACACCAGUAGCGAAGGCGGCUCUCUGGGCCGACACCGACGCUGAGGAGCGAAAGCUAGGGGAGCAAAC